rnacentral:lncRNA from 1 species
UUUAAAUAAAACAUUGGAAGGAAAGGUCUCUAUUUCUAAGUGUGGAAUGCUCUGUUUAUAGACUGAUCUCCACCAGAAAGGAUUCUUGGGCAGAGGACCUGGGGUAUUCUGAGAGGGGCUUGGACAGCUGCUCCUAUGGGAAGCCCAACAACAGAUAAAAUAAGAAGGUCUGCAGUGCUUCUCUGUGCUGGAUGUACUUCUGUACAAACACACCAGUGCUUGACAAGAAAGAUCCACUGUCCAGAACUGUUCGACAUACAGCUGAAAGCAAGCCAGGUUUCUAUUUAAUAAAAAUGUGAGAAUAAAAACAACUUCUUUUGAUCUCUUCUCAUUUCACUAUAUGUUCUUGAAGUACCUAAAUACUGUUUAUUUACACUUGAAAUUGGUGCUGCUGAACUACGACAGCAGAGCUUUACUGAUGGUGUGAUUAACCUCAUCUCCCAUUUUGC